AACGAACGCUGGCGGCAUGCCUAACACAUGCAAGUCGAACGAAUCCCCCAGCUUCGGUUGGCGGGGUUAGUGGCGCACGGGUGCGUAACGCGUGGGAAUCUGCCCUUGGCUUCGGAAUAACAGUUAGAAAUGACUGCUAAUACCGGAUGAUGUCUUCGGACCAAAGAUUUAUCGGCCAGGGAUGAGCCCGCGUAGGAUUAGGUAGUUGGUGGGGUAAAGGCCUACCAAGCCGACGAUCCUUAGCUGGUCUGAGAGGAUGAUCAGCCACACUGGGACUGAGACACGGCCCAGACUCCUACGGGAGGCAGCAGUGGGGAAUAUUGGACAAUGGGCGCAAGCCUGAUCCAGCAAUGCCGCGUGAGUGAUGAAGGCCUUAGGGUCGUAAAGCUCUUUUACCCGGGAUGAUAAUGACAGUACCGGGAGAAUAAGCUCCGGCUAACUUCGUG
rnacentral:rRNA from 1 species